rnacentral:rRNA from 1 species
AUGCCGUCUUUAAAAAUUAGCUAUGAAUACCUCCCUUUUGAUCUGAAGAAAUGCUUUUCCUAUUGUGGCCUUUUCCCUGAAGAUCAUGAGUUUACUUCUUCAGAAAUCAAUCAUCUCUGGGUUUCAAUUGGAAUCAUAGACUCUAAUCAGCAAGCCAAUAGGAAUUACUUGGAAGAACUAGUGGACAAUGGUUUUCUCAUGAAGGUAUUCGAUUUGGGUGAUCGAUCCCCCUAUUUAAUGCAUGAUUUAAUGCAUGAGCUAUCUAAGAGUGUUUCUGCACAAGAAUGCUUCAAUAUAAGUGGCUUAGAUUUCAGAGCUGAUGCCAUCCCGCAAUCUGUUCGACACUUAUCUAUCAACAUAGAAGACAGAUAUGAUGCAAAUUUUGAGGAAGAAAUGUGUAAACUAAGGGAGAGGAUAGAUAUUUCUAAUCUGCGGACUUUGAUGAUUUUUAGAGAAUAUGAAGAAGAAAGAAUCGACAAGAUUUUGAAAGAUAGCUUCAAGGAAAUAAAUAGUCUGCGUGUCCUAUUUAUAGCUGUGAAGUCUGCACAAUCUUUUCCAUACAAGUUUUCGAAACUUAUCCACCUCCAGUACCUGAAAAUUAGUUCAGCUUACAUAAGUGGUGAAAUCAGUUUACCUAGUACACUAUCAAGAUUUUAUCACUUGAAAUUCUUGGACCUAGACUAUUGGUGUGGUAGUUAUGAUUUGCCUGAAGACUUUAGCCACCUUGAGAAUUUACAUGAUUUCCAUGCUGCAAGUGAAAUCCACUCCAAUAUUCGCAGUGUCGGAAAGAUGAAGCAUCUGCAGGAGCUAAAAGAAUUCCAUGUUAAGAAGGAGAGCAUGGGAUUUGAACUGUCAGAACUUGGGGCAUUGACAGAGCUUGAAGGAGGACUGACUAUACGUGGCCUUGAACACGUGGCAACCAAGGAGGAAGCUACUGCAGCCAAACUGAUGUUGAAAAGGAAUCUGGAGGAGUUAGAAUUACUCUGGGGCAUAGAUGGACCAACUAGAGAUGCUGAUAUUCUUGAUGCUCUUCAACCACACUCUAAUCUUAGAGUACUUACAAUUGCAAAUCAUGUUGGUACCAUUGGUCCUAGCUGGUUGUGUCUUGACAUGUGGUUAACAAACUUAGAGAGACUCGCUCUAGAAGGCAUAUCUUGGAGUACCCUCCCACCUUUUGGGAAGCUACCAAAUCUCAAGGGCCUCAAUUUGACGAACAUUUCUGGAAUGCAUCAGUUUGGGCCUCGAUGUGGUGGCGCUCCAGGCAAAUGUUUUAUGCGCUUGAAGACAGUUGAGUUUCAUGACAUGCCAGAACUUGCUGAAUGGGUUGUGGAACCUAAUUGCCAUUCCUUUCCAAGUCUUACAGAAAUCACAUGCAUCAAUUGUCCCAAUCUCUGUGUGAUGCCCUUGUUGGAGGUAUCCUGCACCAAUUUGCACAGACUUGAAGUUUUUCGUUGCCCCAAGGUGUCUCUGCCCUCUAUGCCUCACACCUCCACACUGACAGAUUUGUUUAUUAACACAGGUAAUUCAAGAAGUUUUUACAAAUUUCUGCGAGAUGAUUUAGGGACGUUGUUGUCUUAUGAUGGAAAGAAAUUGGUUGUUAGAGGGUAUGGCGGUGCUUUGGCCUCCCAUAAUCUGGAUAAAGUAGAAGAUAUGAUUGUCGGAAGAUGCGACGGUUUGUUCCCUGAAGAGCUGGAUGGCAGUUUUGUCUUCCAUUCAGUUAAGAGUCUCCAAUUAGAUGUAUCUCAUCUUACCAGCAAAUCAUCUUCAGAAGUAUUAAACUGUUUCCCGGCUCUUUCUGUGUUGAAGAUUGAUGGCUAUGAGGAGGAAUGUGGAAUGCAGUUCCCAUCAUCCAGCUCACUGCAGGAACUUACCUUCUCAGAGUGUACGGGCCUGGUUCUUGUGCCUGUGGAGAAGGAGAAUGGAGGAGGAAUUCAGGAGGACAACUCAUUGCUCCUAAAAUUAAGAAUAGAGUACUGUGGCCAAUUGUUCUGUCGGUGGCCCAUGGGAAAGGGAGAAUCAGAGACCAUUUGCCCUUUCCCUGCUUCCCUGAAGAAACUUGAUGUCGAAGGAGAGACAAGCAUGAAGUCAAUGGCUCUGCUCUCAAACCUCACGUCUCUCACCACUCUAAGGCUAAUAAGAUGCAGAAAGUUAACAGUGGACGGAUUCAAUCCUCUCAUCGCAGUCAACCUCAUACAACUGGAAGUGUGUGGGUGCAACACCAUAGCAGCAGAUAUGCUCUCAGAGGUGGCCAAAUUAUUGCCUGCAGGUUACAUCUCUAGAUUGGAGGUACUCAGGGUGGAUGACAUCUGUGGAUUGCUUGUUGCUCCUAUUUGCAACCUCCUCGCCCCGGCCCUCCACACACUUGAAUUCGAGUCCGAUGAUGAGUGGAUGGAAGGCUUCACGGAAGAGCAAGAGAAAGCGCUGCAGCUCCUCACCUCCCUCCAGAAUCUAACAUUUUUCGACUGCCGGUGUCUGGAGUCCCUUCCUAAAGGGUUACAUCGCCUUUCUUCUCUCAAGGAGUUGCGUGUCGUUGACUGUCAAAGAAUGAUAUCAAUGCCCAAGGAGGGCCUCCCGGUUUCGCUGAGAAAACUAGAGAUGCGUGGUUACUGGGCUCCUUGGCUAGACAAGCAAAUUGAGGAAAUCAAAAGAACCUACCCAGAUUUAUCCGUCACGUAUACCCAAGUUGGCAAACCUGCACAUUAA